CAAUAGCGUAUAUUAACGUUGUUGCAGUUAAAAAGCUCGUAGUUGGAUUUCUGGAGGGAGCGUCGGCCCGUAUUUACGAGUGCGUGACGUCUCUGUCCAUCCUUGCGGGAAGGCACGGCAUUGAUUUGUUGUGUCGGAUCGCAUCAUUUACUGUUAAAAAAUUAGAGUGUUCAAAGCAGGCUUUCGCUUGAAUACAUUAGCAUGGAAUAAUAAGAUAGGACUUUGGUGCUAUUUUGUUGGUUGAGCCUAAAGUAAUGAUUAAUAGGGAUAGUUGGGGGCACCUGUAUUGCGUUGUCAGAGGUGAAAUUCUUGGAUUUACGCAAGACAAACAGCUGCGAAAGCGUCUGCCAAGGAUGUUUUCAUUAA
rnacentral:rRNA from 1 species